rnacentral:sRNA from 1 species
ACUUUUUAUUUUAUUUUUA